rnacentral:rRNA from 1 species
AGGGAGCGAGAUUCUUUGGAAUAAGAUAGCUGCCCAGAGCUUCCAGGAAAUGUUCGGAACAGAGAACUUUCUCUAAUCCAACGUCGUAUUCUCCGAAGAUUGAGGAACAAGAGGAGAUCCAUUAAAAUAAAUCUUUCUCGGAGAGAAAAUCUAAACGGUAACAUCAAAUCACAAACUACAUGAAAGUUGUCUCUUUAUUAUGGGGAUUUACCCAUAAGGGAGAUGCAUAGAGGAAGAGAACGAACUUCAUAUAUCCCUUUUUUACUCAAUCAAGAAACAAGAUCGGACGUGAUUCCGGUUCGUCUCCAUUUUAGUGACACUCUUCCUCAAGCAAGGCAGCCGAUAAGUCAUCGAAGGGUUUGUUUGAAUAAUGGACUGGUAACCAUUACUCAUUUGAAAGUUUCCCACGGUGAUCUAAUAAUUUUAAAGAAAAUGACACGAGAACCCGCGGUUUUGAAAUAA